rnacentral:misc_RNA from 1 species
UACGUAUAAUAAUUAUUAUAACAGUUACAGAAUCUGUUAGAAACGACUGAAAGUUAAUAGCCUGGAAGAUGGCGGAAGAAAAGAAAAAGAAGAAAAUUUUCAAAAAGACGAAUGCAGACAUAAGCGCUAUGAAAACUUUAGGAAUGUUUUCAGAACUUGGUUACAUUCACGAUGGCGGAUAUACACCGGUUCCAGCAGUCUUACGACAGUUCAAAGAUAAACAGAUGUUAGGCCCAGGUUCUAAAAUGAGAUGCGGGAAUCAAGAUGGUUACUUCACGAGAUACUUUCAAAGAAUAUUCGAUGAAGAAGCAUACACAGAUAUCGAGCGCAUCUGGCGUCUUGCAAGAAAGUCCCCAGAAAAAACACCUUUCUUUUAUCCUCCAGCCACUCCUAAAUGCCCAUCAGGAAAAGGUUCGCAUUAUGGGGCAUUUUCUGGCCCCAUCGAGUAUUUUAGUCCUCGAUUGAUAAAGAGAUCCAAGCGAGAAAAACAGAAACCAAACUUUUAUACCAGUCCGGGGAAAAAAGGAACCGGAUAUGGAUAUCCUGAUUUAGCCAUAAAUAAAACUCAAUACAAACAUCUUGAUGAUCCGUAUGAUGUCAGAUACUUAGUUAAUUGGAAUUUAGAUAAAGGGCCUUUCAUUGCUAUAUCUCCUAACGGGUAUUUUUGGAAAAAUCCUUAUAAAGAAGAUACCGAAAUGUCAAAAAAAAUUAAACCUCCUAAAAAAAUAGGAAAAAUGACAUAUUUACCAUUCCUUCCUACCGCUUGUGGAAAAAUGUUGGGAGGAAUGAAAGAUGGUUGUUUCAGCAAAUAUCCUAAACAUGACGGAGACCUGUUCAAAGAAUUGACUGCGAUGAAACGAUACAAAGAUUUCAGAAACAAAGAAAAUAAGAUAUUUAUCUAUCCAGAAGGACCGAAAUCGACAAGAACUGUUUCUAACGUUAAAUAUAAUGUCAGAUUGUAUGCUUUAAAGAAAAAACCUUAAACUACAAGAACGAAAUAUUGAUUACUACAGGAUUCUCGUUAAAGACAGAGUAAACCAUUCUCUAUAUCAAGACUUCAUUAUAUAUGUAAAGGAUGGAUCAACAUGGAUCAACAAAAGGAUCAUCAAUUGUUCACGAUGUCAAAAGGCCACUACUAAAGUACAUUUAAAACAUAUCUAAAUGGAAAAAGUCUUUUUUGUAGCACUUCUUCUAGAUAUGCUUAAAAUGAAAAAGUAUUACUAAAAGAGCGAUGGUAAAUAAAAAAAAUACUACUGUGAAUAGAAGAAACGUGUGAGUUAACCCCCAUUCCGUUGCCAGAAAUUCCAUGUUAAGAAUAAAUUCGAAAUAAGCUUAAAAAUCCAGAUAAAAGGGACUUAGGCAUAUACCUGAUGUGCUUACCCGUAUACAGAUGUAAAAUAAAUAAGACAAUGAUGGCAGUAUCAUAUAUACACAGAAAGAUGUGAAAAAUAUAUUUUAGAUAAUUGAUUAAAAGACCAGAAAAAAGAAGGGGUCAUGUUACCUAUUCCCUCAUCUUUAACAACACAAGCAAAGAACAAGACCGUCAACGGUAUCCAACCUAAGAAACUAAUAUAAGAAUACAUCAAGUAAAAGUUUUGUCUUCACCUGACAUAGUGCUGGAGGUCCAGGCAGUCCAGGAGAUCCCAUCAAUCCAGGAAGACCAAUAUCACCUUUCAAUCCUUUAUCUCCUUUUGGACCUGGUUGUCCCUAAUGAAAGUUAUAAAUUAUAAGAAAUUGUAAGAAAUUCACAGUAGAGCAAGCUGUUAAAAGAUGAAAAUGUAAAUUCAAGUAGUUAGUUCAGUUAGUCCAAGAAUCUGUUAGU